rnacentral:rRNA from 1 species
GAUGAACGCUAGCGGCAGGCCUAACACAUGCAAGUCGAGGGAGGAGCUUUCGGGCUUCGACCGGCGUACGGGUGCGUAACGCGUAUACAAUCUGCCUUUCACAUAGGGAUAGCCCGAAGGAAUUUGGAUUAAUACCUAAUGGUAUAUAGAGGUGGCAUCACCUUUAUAUUAAAGCUGAGGCGGUGAAAGAUGAGUAUGCGUUCUAUUAGCUAGUUGGAGAGGUAACGGCUCCCCAAGGCGACGAUAGAUAGGGGUUCUGAGAGGGAUAUCCCCCACACUGGUACUGAGAUACGGACCAGACUCCUACGGGAGGCAGCAGUGAGGAAUAUUGGACAAUGGUCGGAAGACUGAUCCAGCCAUGCCGCGUGCAGGAAGACGGCCUUAUGGGUUGUAAACUGCUUUUGCAGGGGAAGAAUAAGGACUACGCGUAGUUUGAUGACGGUACUCUGCGAAUAAGCAUCGGCUAACUCCGUG